ACGAGGAUUUGUCACCGUGCCACAGGGCUGGCACAGGAUUCCAGCACAGCAUGGAAUGUUUCCACUGGGUUCCACAUCCAGGACAGGAUUCAGGGCCACCUUUGGGGUCCUGCCAUCACCUCUCGGGUGGCCAUGCCAUCCUGCAUGUCCCCUCCCACCCAAACCUGCUCACCCUCCCUUUUUGGGGCCAAAACCCCAGUGUGGAGGAUGAGAUUUCCAUUUUGCUUUUUGAUUUUUUUGGCUUUGGUUUCGUGGCUGCUCUUUGCUUCGGGCCCUUGGUUGGGGUGUUGGGCUGGGGUCGAUGUAGCUCUUCCCUUUGUUUCUCUCCCUUUUUUUGGUUUCUUUGAUGUCCAAGGAUAAAAUCCCAUCUCUGGGUGGUGUUCCCGGGGUGAGGUUGGCAUCCUGGGUGUCCCCGUUGUCCCCUCCCCGUGCUCGGGGGGUGACUCCAGGUGGGAGCAGAGCGAGCCCCCGGCCCGGUUUUGUCCUUGGUGGUUCUUGUGGAGCAGUGUCCAUGCGGGAGCAGAGCUGUCCUCGUGCAGUCAGUGUGUGAAAGGGGGUGAAAGGCCAGGGUGGGACCCCCAGAGACACCUGGAGCCCCCAGAGCUCCCUGGUCCCACCCCAGCGGGAGGGGGGAGGGCUCAGGUUUAUUUUGGGUGGGGGGGCAAGUCUAGAAGAAAAGCCCCUGAUUUUUUUUUUAAAAAAAAUUUAUUUAAUUUUUACUUAAAUUCUCUGAUUGGAAAUGCCAAUUUGAACCAUCUAUUGAGAUGUUCAGUGCAGGAAGCAGCGCCCCUGGGGCUGGGGCUGCUUCCCUGGGACCCCCAGAGCGGAGCUGGGGUUUCUCUCUGCCCCCCAUUUCCCUCCCCAGCCCCUUCCCAGGGCAGGGAUGAGCUUGGAAAGGGCUGAUUUUCUUCUUGGCUCUGAGAAUCCCGACCAAAACCCCUGGAUUUGGGGUCUGGGGAGUUUGGGGUCACCACAGAGGCUUUUGGGGGGGGGUUCACUCUUCCUCCUGCUCUUCCUCCUGCUCUUCCUCCUGCCUCUUCACUUCACUUCACUUCCAAGACAAAACCAAACACCUUCCCCAGCUCAGCCCCCCCAAACUGGGCACCCCCAGGAUGGGGCUGCACCCCCCUGGCAUCCUUAGGGCACUGCCAGCCCCUUGGCAUGAGCUGUUCUGGGAUGCCACCACGUGCCAGUCUGGGCACAAGGGGGUGGCAGGAGAUGCCCUUGGGCCUGGAACCCCGUGGAUUUGGGGUCAUCUGGAGAAGAGGAACCCUUGGAGAAGUGGUAACUUCACCUGGGAGGUCUCCUCAUGGAUUUUGGGAGGUGUAACCUUGCCUGGGAGGUCUC
rnacentral:lncRNA from 1 species